UGCGGGUGCUAACGUCCGUAGUCAAGAGGAAAACAAUCCAGACCGCCAGCUAAGGCCCCAAAAUCAUAGUUAAGUGGGAAACGAUGUGGGAAGGCAUAGACAGCUAGGAGGUUGGCUUAGAAGCAGCCACCCUUUAAAGAAAGCGUAAUAGCUCACUAGUCGAGUCGGCCUGCGCGGAAGAUGUAACGGGGCUAAAACUAUGUGCCGAAGCUGCGGAUGUAUACUUUGUAUACGUGGUAGGGGAGCGUUCUGUAAGCCGAUGAAGGUGUGUUGAGAAGCAUGCUGGAGGUAUCAGAAGUGCGAAUGCUGACGUGAGUAACGACAAAACGGGUGAAAAACCCGUUCGCCGAAAGACCAAGGGUUCCAGUCCAACGUUAAUCGGGGCUGGGUGAGUCGACCCCUAAGGCGAGGCCGAAAGGCGUAGUCGAUGGGAAAAUGGUUAAUAUUCCAUUACUUCUGUGUAAUGCGAUGAGAGGACGGAGAAGGCUAAAUCAGCCUGGCGUUGGUUGUCCAGGUGAAAGGAUGUAGGCAUGUAUCUUAGGCAAAUCCGGGGUACUCUAUGCUGAGAUCUGAUAGCAAGCUGUACUUGUACAGCGAAGUGGUUGAUGCCAUGCUUCCAGGAAAAGUCUCUAAGCUUCAGUUACACAGGAAUCGUACCCGAAACCGACACAGGUGGUCAGGUCGAGUAGACCAAGGCGCUUGAGAGAACUCUGCUGAAGGAACUAGGCAAAAUGGUACCGUAACUUCGGGAGAAGGUACGCUGUUGUUGGUGAUGGAACUCGCUUCCUGAGCUGACGACAGCCGCAGAAACCAGGCCGCUGCAACUGUUUAUUAAAAACAUAGCACUCUGCAAACACGAAAGUGGACGUAUAGGGUGUGAUGCCUGCCCGGUGCUGGAAGGUUAAUUGAUGGGGUUAGCGUAAGCGAAGCUCUUGAUCGAAGCCCCAGUAAACGGCGGCCGUAACUAUAACGGUCCUAAGGUAGCGAAAUUCCUUGUCGGGUAAGUUCCGACCUGCACGAAUGGCAUAAUGAUGGCGGCGCUGUCUCCAGCAGAGGCUCAGUGAAAUCGAAAUCGCUGUGAAGAUGCAGUGUACCCGCGGCUAGACGGAAAGACCCCGUGAACCUUUACUGCAGCUUGACACUGAACUUUGACCUUACUUGUGUAGGAUAGGUGGGAGGCUUUGAAGCUGGAACGCUAGUUCCAGUGGAGCCGUCCUUGAAAUACCACCCUGGUAAUGUUGAGGUUCUAACUCUGUCCCGUGAUCCGGGACGAGGACCGUGUCUGGUGGGUAGUUUGACUGGGGCGGUCUCCUCCUAAAGAGUAACGGAGGAGUACGAAGGUGCGCUCAGCGUGGUCGGAAAUCACGCGUAGAGUAUAAAGGCAAAAGCGCGCUUAACUGCGAGACCCACAAGUCGAGCAGGUACGAAAGUAGGUCUUAGUGAUCCGGUGGUUCUGUAUGGAAGGGCCAUCGCUCAACGGAUAAAAGGUACUCUGGGGAUAACAGGCUGAUACCGCCCAAGAGUUCAUAUCGACGGCGGUGUUUGGCACCUCGAUGUCGGCUCAUCUCAUCCUGGGGCUGAAGCAGGUCCCAAGGGUAUGGCUGUUCGCCAUUUAAAGAGGUACGCGAGCUGGGUUUAGAACGUCGUGAGACAGUUCGGUCCCUAUCUACCGUGGGCGCUGGAAAUUUGAGAGGAUCUGCUCCUAGUACGAGAGGACCAGAGUGGACGAACCUCUGGUGUACCGGUUGUGACGCCAGUCGCAUCGCCGGGUAGCUAUGUUCGGAAGGGAUAACCGCUGAAAGCAUCUAAGCGGGAAGCCUACCUCAAGAUAAGAUUUCCCUAGGACUUUAUGUCCUCUAAAGAGCCGUUCGAGACUAGGACGUUGAUAGGUUGGAUGUGGAAGCAUAGUGAUAUGUGAAGCUGACCAAUACUAAUUGCUCGUGAGGCUUGACUAU
rnacentral:rRNA from 1 species